AUUGAACGCUGGCGACAGGCCUAACACAUGCAAGUCGAGCGGAUGACGGGAGCUUGCUCCUUGAUUCAGCGGCGGACGGGUGAGUAAUGCCUAGGAAUCUGCCUGGUAGUGGGGGACAACGUUUCGAAAGGAACGCUAAUACCGCAUACGUCCUACGGGAGAAAGCAGGGGACCUUCGGGCCUUGCGCUAUCAGAUGAGCCUAGGUCGGAUUAGCUUGUUGGUGAGGUAAUGGCUCACCAAGGCGACGAUCCGUAACUGGUCUGAGAGGAUGAUCAGUCACACUGGAGCUGAGACACGGUCCAGACUCCUACGGGAGGCAGCAGUGGGGAAUAUUGGACAAUGGGCGAAAGCCUGAUUCAGCCAUGCCGCGUGUGUGAAGAAGGUCUUCGGAUUGUAAAGCACUUUAAGUUGGGAGGAAGGGUUGUAGAUUAAUACUCUGCAAUUUUGACGUUACCGACAGAAUAAGCACCGGCUAACUCUGUGCCAGCCGCCGCCGUAACAC
rnacentral:rRNA from 1 species